rnacentral:misc_RNA from 1 species
CUGUGCCCGCGACUUUGACCAUGUGGAAUUUAACGAAAAAGUUGUUUUUCUAAAAUAAAAGUAAAGUUAAAAAGCCUAAGUUACUCCUUACUACACCGGCUAUCCGCCAGUGAAAGUCCCGUAAAAAUCGGUCCAGCCGUUUCAGAGAUUAGCCGGAACAAACAGACAGACAAAAAUUGUAAAAAAUGUUAUUUUGGUAUAUGUACCUUUUUCUAAAUUUUUAAUAAAAUUUACUCGAAAAGUU